GACGAACGCUGGCGGCGUGCCUAAUACAUGCAAGUCGAACGAACCGCGACUAGGUGCUUGCACUUGGUCAAGGUGAGUGGCGAACGGGUGAGUAACACGUGGGUAACCUACCUCAUAGUGGGGGAUAACAGUCGGAAACGACUGCUAAUACCGCAUAGGACAUAGGAUCACAUGAUCCAGUGAGGAAAGGUGGCGCAAGCUAUCGCUAAGAGAUGGACCCGCGGUGCAUUAGCUAGUUGGUAGGGUAAAGGCCUACCAAGGCGAUGAUGCAUAGCCGACCUGAGAGGGUGAUCGGCCACAUUGGGACUGAGACACGGCCCAAACUCCUACGGGGGGCAGCAGUAGGGAAUCUUCCGCAAUGGACGCAAGUCUGACGGAGCAACGCCGCGUGAGUGAAGAAGGUCUUCGGAUCGUAAAGCUCUGUUGUUAGAGAAGAACAGCGCAUAGAGUAACUGCUAUGCGUGUGACGGAUCUACCAGAAGCCCCG
rnacentral:rRNA from 1 species